AUCAGGAAUGAUGGCGUGUCAAAAGGGCCGCCUUUCGUCUCUUGGCGCUGUGCGUCAGAUCCGCCAGGUCAGCAGCAAGGUGACACUUCUAAAAGGUUAUCCAGCACCAACCUUUACCUCACAUGGCGGCGGAGAUAACCACCGGUUACUCAAGCCGUCACACGUUGACGAAAAGCUGCUGAUUCAAGCACCGGCUGUGCGUUGGGGAAAAGUAGCUUAAAGGUCAACCAGAAUGAGGACGGUUUCUGAAGGGACUUGCUGCGGUGCAGGAAGGAAACGUCUGAGGUUUGAAAAAGAGAAAAUAUCCAGUGAGCGGCAGUUCUGUGGGCCACAAAUGCAUUGUUGAUGCCAGAGGUCAGAGGAGAAUGGCCAGACUGGUUCGAGUUGAUAGAACGGAAACAGCAACUCAAACAAGCAAGGCAUGCAGAAGAGCAUCUCUGAAUGCACGACACGUCGAACCCUGAGGCGGAUGGGCUACAGCAGCAGAAGACCACACAGAGUGCCCCUCCUGUCAGCUUAGAACAGCAAACUGAGGCUACAAUUCGCUCAUUAAUUGGUCAAUAGAAGAUUGGAAAAACGUUGCCUGGUCUGAUGAGUCUCGACAUUCGGAUGGUCGGGUCAGAAUUAGGCGUCAACAACAUGAAAGCUUGGAUCCAUCCUGCCUUGUAUCAACGGUUCAGGCUGCUGGUGGCGGUGCGGUGGUGUGGGGGAUAUUUCCCUGGCUCACUUUCGACCCAUUAGAGACAACUGAGCGGGAUGAGGUGGAACCGGAGAUUCACAUCAUGGAUGUGCAGCCGACCAAUCUGCAGCAACUGCACGAUGCCGUCAUGUCCAUGUGGCCCAGACUCUCUGAGGAACGUUUCCAGGACCUUGUUGAAUCUCUGCCAUGAAGGAGUAAAGCAGUUUUUAAGACAAAAGAGGGUCUAACCCAGGGUGUACCCAACACAAUGGUGUGUGUGUAUAUAUAUAUAUUUUUUUUUUCUGCCCACUGCAAUGUACUUUCUGCAUGACAUUUUAAGACCUGUUAUCUAUACUGUACAACCACUGGGA